GUGCUUGCUUCGGCAGCACAUAUACUAAGAUUGGAACGAUACAGAGAAGAUUAGCAUGGCCCCUGUGCAAGGAUAACAUGCAAAUUUGUGAAGCAUUCCAUAUUUUU
ensembl:snRNA U6 U6 spliceosomal RNA